rnacentral:rRNA from 1 species
AUUGAACGCUGGCGGCAGGCCUAACACAUGCAAGUCGAACGGUAACAGGAAACAGCUUGCUGUUUCGCUGACGAGUGGCGGACGGGUGAGUAAUGUCUGGGAAACUGCCUGAUGGAGGGGGAUAACUACUGGAAACGGUAGCUAAUACCGCAUAACGUCGCAAGACCAAAGAGGGGGACCCUCGGGCCUCUUGCCAUCGGAUGUGCCCAGAUGGGAUUAGCUUGUUGGUGGGGUAACGGCUCACCAAGGCGACUAUCCCUAGCUGGUCUGAGAGGAUGACCAGCCACACUGGAACUGAGACACGGUCCAGACUCCUACGGGAGGCAGCAGUGGGGAAUAUUGCACAAUGGGCGCAAGCCUGAUGCAGCCAUGCCGCGUGUAUGAAGAAGGCCUUCGGGUUGUAAAGUACUUUCAGCGGGGAGGAAGGGAGUAAAGUUAAUACCUUUGCUCAUUGACGUUACCCGCAGAAGAAGCACCGGCUAACUCCGUG